rnacentral:rRNA from 1 species
GACGAACGCUGGCGGCAUGCCUAAUACAUGCAAGUCGAGCGAAUGAUGAAGAAGCUUGCUUCUUCUGAUUUAGUGGCGGACGGGUGAGUAACGCGUGAGCAACCUGCCUUUCAGAGGGGGAUAACAGUUGGAAACGACUGCUAAUACCGCAUAACGUAUUGAGACCGCAUGAUUUUGAUACCAAAGCUGAGGCGCUGAAAGAUGGGCUCGCGUCCGAUUAGAUAGUUGGUGGGGUAACGGCCUACCAAGUCGACGAUCGGUAGCCGGACUGAGAGGUUGAUCGGCCACAUUGGGACUGAGACACGGCCCAG